UUACACUCUUUGAUCUAGAACCUAAUGUUCUUCAAUAUUGGGAUACUUUUCUUGAAAUGCAUCACGGUCUUGUUUGUAUAGUCUGGGCUAGCCUCAGAAGACUCAUGAUCUGCUUCAGUUUCCUGACUGCUGGAUUAGAGGUGUCUAAAGAGACCAGAGGCAAGGGACCCCGUGGACCUGGAGUUACGGCUAAAAGCGACAAUGGGGAACUCUGGUUGCAGCCUGUGUUCUGCAACCCUGAGCCAUCUUUCCAGCGCCUCCCUGACUUUUCAACAAAUGAUAAUCGCAGAGCCAUGAGACAGCUGCUGCUCUACACAUCCCAGCCACCGUCACCCAGGCCAGCGACCGGAGGGGACUCACCUACAGACUCGAUGCGGA